GACGAACGCUGGCGGCGUGCUUAACACAUGCAAGUCGAACGAAGUGGCGAACGGGUGUGUAAUACGUGGGUAACCUGCCCUUCUUUUUGGGAUAAGCUUUGGAAACGGGGUCUAAUACCGAAUAAAGGGGGAUGGGCUCGCGGCCUAGCAGCUUGUUGGGGGGGUGAUGGCCUACCAAGGCGGUGCCGGGUUGCCGGCCUGAGAGGGUGCCCUGCCACAUUGGGACUGGGGUGCGGCCCAGACUCCGACGGGAGGGAGCAGUGGGGAAUAUUGCACAAUGGGCGAUGGCCUGAUGCAGCGACGCCGCGUGGGGGAUGAAGGCUUUGGGGUUGUAAACCUCUUUCGCUAUCUAACGGGGAGGUGGAGAAGAAGCGCCGGCUAACUACGUGCCAGCAGCCGCGGUAAUUC
rnacentral:rRNA from 1 species